CAAGUGCGAGGGCAUAUAGUCCUCGCUUUUGCGACCGUAAGGUGGUCGCGGAAUAAGUGCUGGGCAAGACCGGUGCCAGCCGCCGCGGUAAUACCGGCAGCACGAGUGAUGACCGCUAUUAUUGGGCCUAAAGCGUCCGUAGCUGGCCAUGCAAGUCCAUCGGGAAAUCCGCGCGCUUAACGCGCGGGCGUCCGGUGGAAACUGCAUGGCUUGGGACCGGAAGACCAGAGGGGUACGUCCGGGGUAGGAGUGAAAUCCCGUAAUCCUGGACGGACCACCGGUGGCGAAAGCGCCUCUGGAAGACGGAUCCGACGGUGAGGGACGAAAGCUCGGGUCACGAACCGGAUUAGAUACCCGGGUAGUCCGAGCUGUAAACGAUGUCUGCUAGGUGUGGCACAGGCUACGAGCCUGUGCUGUGCCGCAGGGAAGCCGUGAAGCAGACCGCCUGGGAAGUACGUCCGCAAGGAUGAAACUUAAAGGAAUUGGCGGGGGAGCACUACAACCGGAGGAGCCUGCGGUUUAAUUGGACUCAACGCCGGACAUCUCACCAGCAUCGACAAUGUGCAGUGAAAGUCAGGUUGAUGACCUUACUGGAGCCAUUGAGAGGAGGUGCAUGGCCGCCGUCAGCUCGUACCGUGAGGCGUCCUGUUAAGUCAGGCAACGAGCGAGACCCGCACUCCUAAUUGCCAGCAACACCUAGCGGUGGUUGGGUACAUUAGGAGGACUGCCAGUGCCAAACUGGAGGAAGGAACGGGCAACGGUAGGUCAGUAUGCCCCGAAUGUGCUGGGCGACACGCGGGCUACAAUGGCCGAGACAGUGGGAUGCAACCCCGAGAGGGGGCGCUAAUCUCCGAAACUCGGUCGUAGUUCGGAUUGAGGGCUGAAACUCGCCCUCAUGAAGCUGGAUUCGGUAGUAAUCGCGCCUCAGAAGGGCGCGGUGAAUACGUCCCUGCUCCUUGCACACACCGCCCGUCAAAGCACCCGAGUAGGGUCCGGAUGAGGCCGACGCAACGUCGGU
rnacentral:rRNA from 1 species